rnacentral:sRNA from 12 species
CAUGAUUAGCCUAGCUAGGAUUGUUUAGAGGGUAGCCGCAGUCGCCCCAACUCCAACUUACAAAAUAAUUUUGUUUUGUAAGUAGGGUGAGAAACAACUUUUGUUGGAAACUUUAAUCUUUUUAAGAGAUUAGAGAACUGU